UAAGCUCCCAACAAAUGGCAGUGACCAUUGCUAUCACAGGCCUAUGGGGAGUGCCUUGAUCCAGUGGAGCCCCCACAAAUCCUGACCACAGAAAUGAAGCAUGUCCUAAGCCAGAAUGCUUUUCCAGUAUGAUGGCAAUACCUGGAUGUACAAGAAGACACAGGUUGAAUUUGGAACAAGUUCCAUAUGAAACAAAGCUCAGGCUAACAUGACAUAAAUAUGCGGAUGGAAUAAACAACCUAAUAGCAGGCUCCCUGGGCAGCUUCGUUCUCAGAAGUUAGAUGAAUCAUGUAAAACAGAAGUUUAUAAGUUUAAACGAGAUGAAAUGAGGAACAGUAGAGAAAGAUGAAGACCUUCUGCAAACAAACUCAACCAUGCUUUAUGCAGUAGACCAGAUCCAUAUUGCACAGCUCAAGAGUCCCGAGCACAAAGGGCCCAUGCAGGUGUCCAGGCAGCUGUCCCUGAAGCAGCCUCACAGAGUUUGUUGCAGCCCAGAGUUGUAGGCUAUCCGUGGAGUGUUUCCUGGGUAUCCAAGAGGAGGUCAGGCAUGACACAAAAGCCCAGGGACUGGAAGGGAUGAGAAACUGAUAGAGAAAUCUAUGUGGACCUAUGACUGAAGACCAGAUAAUAAGGGCACCUCAGCAGAUGACGACAUGGAUAAAUUGCAAAGAAGAGGAGCACGUGCCACUUUCAUCCAAACAUCCUGGCACUACACGAUUCAUCCAGAUCAUAACAACUGUCCAAGGCAAGUAAAAGUGACCCUGAAUUGACUGAAAAUAUGCUUUUGCCUUUUGUCCAAAUGAGGACUCAAAUUCAAUUUUAUAUAAAUGAAGAAAGUUACAUUAAUUGAGGCUGAGUUUAGAGAUUGAAAUUUUGUCUAAUAUAGAGUUAUUUUAAAAUCAGCACAGGAAAUCAUGAGAACCUCAGAUCCUGAAUGCCACAAGCUUUACUGGGCUGAUUUUUACAAAGGGUGAGAGAGAUUUUGCUGCCAUCUAAGCCUCUUGAGGCAGAUCAACUGGACAUUGCAGAUUUAGAAGCAAAGAAUCAGGAAAUUAAAGAGACAUUUACAUUUUCUUUUAAAGAAAUACUAUAGCUUGAAUUACCUUCUCAAUAAUGAUCUCUCCUUCUCUGAAAGGUUAUGCCACAAUGACAGCAAGUUAUUUCACAGGUUGAGGUAUUCUGUUAAACCUUGAAGAAUCUGCUUAGAAUAGAUUUGAGUUAGAAAGGGAAAAGUAUAUUAGAAUGUUUAUUAUAGAUAUUUUCCAUAUGAGUCAUACUAAAACUGCCAUUCAGUUUAUCCAUGUGUGCUCUUAUUCUAUCUCCACUUCAACCUCCAGAGUAGCUUCUUGGUUCCUUCGGUUGUACUUUCUUAUGCAUCACAAGUCAAUGUUAUCAGAAAACAUACAUACUUGAGACUUACCGUUAAAAAUGAAAUCACAUUUCUUUUCUGCAAUCACUCCAUUUUUCUACUCUCCUCCAUCCCUAUAUCUCUCAAAAGAAUGAUUUACGUACAUUUCUCUCCAUUUGCUCACCUCCCAUUUAUACUUUAAUUUUCUGCAAUCUGAUUUCUGCUCUAAGCACUUUCAAUGGAAGGGCACUAUUCCUGUGAUGAUGUCCGUGUCAAUUCAAUGGACAUUUCUCUAUCCUCAGUAUUUGUUGUGUAUUAUCUUGGCAUUACCUCUUUUCUUGGCAUUUGAGACAUCACUUUGAUUUUCCUUGAAAUUUACUAGCUGUUCCUUCCCAUUCUCUUUGGCCAGUUGCUUCUCCUGUAAUGAAUCUCCAAAUCUAUUUGGAUUAGAGCUGAAAUCUAACUCAGGGCUGAAAUGAAAAGGCUCUUAUCUUCUCUGCAUCACUUACUCAGAUAUCUCACCAUUCCCAUGGGUUUAAAUACCAUGUGAAUUCUGAUAACCCAAAAAGUUUCUUCCCAUUUAGACCUUACUUCCAAGCCCCAUACUCAUACACAAUAUUGCUUAUUUAAAUCAGACAUCUUGCAGACAUUUGCAACUUAACAAAUUCAACAUGAAAUUCUUGAUUUUUUUCCUCAAAACUGUUUCCCCAUCAGAAGCUCAGACUUCUUCUCAGUAAAAGGCACCACCAACCACUCAGUUGCUCAAAUGAGAAAUAGAAGUGUCAUUCUGGUUUUUUUGUUUCCUCCUGCCCCAUAUCCAUACGAUAGAAAGUAUUGUCAAAUCUAGCUCCAAAUAUAGCUUUUGUUUGUUUUGUUUUGUCUUGUUUUUGAGAACACGGUCUCACUCUUGUCACCCAGGUUAGAGUGCAGUGGCGUGAUCUUGGCUCACUGCAGCCUCAACCUCCUGGGUUCGAAUAAUCCUCUCACCUCAGACUCCUGAGUAGCAGGGACCACAGGUGUGUGCCACCAUGUCCAGCUAAUUUUUCUUUUUCUUUUUUUUUUUUUUUUUUUUUGUGGAGACAUGGUUUUGACAUCUUGCCCAGACUGGUCUCAGACUCCUGAGUACAAGCGAUCUGUCUGCCUCGGCUUCCCAAAGUGCUGGGAUUACAGGCAUGAGGCACCAUGACUGGCCUCCAAAUAUAUCUGAAUGAGAUUGUUUUCCUUCAUCUCUUCUUCCAUUACUACCUUACACUAGUUCACCUUCAUCUCAUUGCACGGACUAUUUUAAGUUCAGUUGAUCUCACAUCUUCCAUUUUUACCUCUCACCAAGCCACGCUCAAUAUAGCAGCAAUAAUUAUCUUGUUAAAAUAUAAAUUUUGUCUAAUGUCACUCUACCACUUUAGUGUCUUCCUGUAGCUCUCAGAAUAAAAUCUAAAGCCCUUAUAAUGAUUUGUGAGGUCCUGUUCACCUUCCCAGUUUCAACUCAUAUGACCCCUGGGCUCUGCACCAACCACUCUAGUAUCCGAGUUUUUUCCUCUUCCUGCAAAUUUGUCAAAUGACUGCUUCCUCUGCCUAGAAUGCUGUCAUCCUCUGAGCUUCAGGCUAAAUAUUAACUACUUAGCAAUUUCCUUGCCUAUCUCUCUAUUUAAAGUAGGUCUCUUUAUUUUCUUCAUUAAGCUCCUAUCCCUUAACUUUAUAACAUUUGCACUGAUUAUAACUAUUUUAUUUAUUUGUCUGUUAAUUUUUGGUAUCUCUCUCUUUCACCAGAAUAUAAGUUCCAAGUCGUAUAGAAGAUAAAUUGUGAACAUCAUGUUUCUCAUUGUAUUCCUGGAGUUUAGCACAGGGCCUAGUGCAUAGUAGGUACCCAAAAGUAAAUAUUGAUUGACUGAUAUUAUCACAGUAGAAGUAGAGUUCUUAUCCUCAUGCCUUUGUACAUGUAUAUGUAUAUGCGCCUGUAAGGGCAAAAGAGAAAAGUACAUUAACACGUAAUUAUCUACACUCACACCCAAUGAGUUAGUGGCUUGGCAGAAGUACUUUUCAUAUAAAAAUAAUACAGAGAUAACAUAUAUACAGAGAUACUCUCACUUAUCUACCUAUGGGAUUUGUUAAGGGAUGAUUUCCAAAGCUGACCUUUCUAUCUAUAAGACUGAAGAAGUGUUUAAAACCUUGCCAACCUUAUCAAAGGGAAUAAUUAAUCAGGACCUGAUAAUGUGCCAUAUUAUAGUAGAAGCAAAUUAUAUAUUUGUUAAUAGAUCUUUAUAGAUCAUGUUUUGAAUGUUCAUUUGAAUUUUCUUUUUUCAUUUGAAAAUGACUUACUUCAAGUUUUGGGCCAGUGCUUAGAGGUUUACAUAUCUAUUUGUGUGCUAUAUGAGAGUACGUGAUCUUCUCUGAUGAUAAAAUUUCCCAGCGCAUCUUUUUCUCCAUGAUAUUAGUUUCUUGUGAGUAUGAAAUUUAUUCUAAAUGACUUUCAGGCCACUUCUCACCAUAACCAAUGAAAAGGAAAAUUAUCUGUUGCCACCAGAAAACAUAUUUGCUUAUAUCCUGCAUGGCCAGGUCUCUAGCACCCAGCAUCCGCAGAGGGUCUCCCAUCUCAAUACUUAUCCUGUUAGAGUUCUAUGAUGGUUAAUUUUAUGUAUCAAUUUGACUGAAUCAUGGUACUCAGGUAUUUGGCCAAACAUUAUUCUACAUGUUUCUGUGAAAGUGUUGUUUACAUGAGAUUAAUAUUUAAAUCAGUAGACUUUCAGUAAAGCAGAUCACCCUCCAUAAUGUGAGUUGGCCUCAUUCAAUCCAUUGGGGGCCUUAAUAGAAAAAGACUGGCCUCCCCUAAAGAAGAGGAAAUUCAGCCAGCUGCCUCCCUUCAUCACUUAAACUGCAUCAUUUCUUCCCUGGGUCUCCAGCUUGACGAUCUACACUGCAGAUUUUGGACUUGCCAAGCCUCCACAAUAGUGUGCCCCAGAAGAGCAAGUGGGGCUAUUGAUCUGGUGCUACAUGCGCAGGAAGGCUCCAGUUCACAUGCCUGAACCCGUUACCCUGCUUUGUC
rnacentral:lncRNA from 1 species